UGAAAAACUAAUGAAUCGAGUUUUAAAUGGAUCUGAUUUAAGGAAGAAAACUAACCAAAAUCAGACAGAAUCAGUUUAUGAGUUCAUAAUGAAUGUGCUGCUUCAAAAGAAAAUCUUACCUUCCAAACUAAAUUUGUUUAAUUGUUUCCAAUAUACUGUUUAAAAAGAAUGAUUGAGUUGAGCUCAAUCUUUCUGCUUUUGAUAUUAGAAUUUGAAAACAAAUUUUAAGCGCUGUCUUUCUUUUUUGAGUGCACAGAUUUAAUUCAGGUUUAAAAAUCAAUUCUUUGCUAUAUUUUGUGUAUCUCUCUUUCUCUUCUUUCUUUCUUGCGUUCUCUUUCUCUCUGAUUGAGUGGUGGUUCAAAAUACAUGGAGAUAUCAUCAGACAUCAGCGAGGAAGAAGCAAGCAAGGAGCUCGCUGCUGAUGGAAGCAGUAACGGUGACUGCUGAUAAUACAAAAAGGAGAGAGGGAGGGAGAGAGAGGGAGAGAGAGAGAAAGAGGGGCAGAACGAAGCAGAGAAGAAGAAAACAGCACAGUGACAAAAGGAACCACGACCGACGAAGGAGAAGAAGGUGGCAACGACGGUGAUAGAUUGGAAAGAAGGAGGCUACGUCGAGAGAAAGGAAGAGGAGUGAGGUGACGAUGGUGAUGGAGGCCACGACGCUAUUGGAUCCGCAGAACAGCGUCACAGCCGCUCCUUUACCGACGGCGGCGGCGGGUGCUGCGAACGCGUCGAAGCAGCUCGUUACGGUGUCGUUGUACAUCGGGGAUCUGGACCCUGAGGUCGACGAGAACUUCUACGAUUUGUUCGACCAGAUACAGUUGGUUUAGGAAGUUCUCCCGCUGCUGUUGCAGAACAAAAACGGCCCCUUGGAUUUUUAUGCUGAAAGAAGAGAAGAGAAGAGAAAAUUCUUAGUCCACAGAUGGAGGCAUUUGGUUUAGGCAGUGACUUGACCACUCGCUGAUCGCCCGGUUGAGGUUACGUUAAUUUCCAUUAAGUAUAGAUGAUUUGUGUGUGAACUGCUUUGCAUUUUGAAGGGAACUCAUUGAGAAGUAGUGAAAUAACAACCUUUGAUGCCAUCUUCAAUUUCAGUGGAACAAAAUCCCAAUUAUCUUGGAGAGUAGAAAAAUCCUUCAUCAUUAGCUUUGUGUCCAGCAACUAAGAACUGCAUAUCAACAUAUGAGAAUAUCACUCAUACCAUUCAUUAUGCUCCUCCUUGGUUUAUUCCGAUGCACCUGAUGGACAUGAACCAUUGGCUUUAGACAUGGGAAGCAUGGGGAAGGUCAGGUAUGGAUUAACGGAGAGAACAUAGGAAGAUACUGGACGGCUUAUGCAGAUGGUUGCUAAUAGGCGUGACUAGCAGAAAAAGGCAUAUAGCAAGAUGUGUCAAUAAGCAUUUCCGGUAAGCUAAGCAAGCUAAUGAUGCUUACAAUUUUAUGCACAAUUAUUAUGCAGAUAAGGUGAGCUAUGCAGGGAAGUAUGCACCUGAGUUAGAACCCUGAUAAAUGAUAGGAACCUUCCCCCUUCUCUCCAUAUUAAUCUCAAAUGUAAGGUUCUACGUGGUGCAUAAAGACUUUUGUUCUAUUAAGUGAAGCUAAGAAUAUUUCCCUUAUUUUAUGUGUAAUUAUGGAAUUAUUGUACAUGUUACUUACACAUUUCAUUUCGUUCUAGAACCUUGAUGUCUUUCGCCUUACACUUUCCUUAUUUUUAUUGUAUCUUUUUUUCAGAAGUCUACUUCUGCGUUUCAAUAAUUCUCUAUAUACAAUAAUUCUUUUUUGGCAGACAAGUGCAUUUUAAAAUUUACUGUAUUGAACCCUAAAGAACGCAUUUAGACCAUGUUAGAUGGAGAAGUUGUAAAUGAUGAUAUUGUCCUUUGCAAUUUUUGUGGAUUGCAAAAUUUGAACAAAGGCAAACUAUAUUGUUACUA